UCCAUGGUGUUAUUCGCCCCCUAGUGGAGAUUUCUGGUACUUAGACUGUACACAAACAGAAAGUAGAGAAUUGUUCCGCACGCAUAGAAGCAGCUAAAAACAACGCUACGGUGCAGUUCUUUCAGUGUAGAUAUUUCUUGUCACGCUUCAGCCUCGGAAAAUAUUUGUUUUUUCACAACAUAAACGUUUUCAAUAUAGUUAGUCAAGAAAAGUCACGCCUUGGGAGUUUUAUUGAAGACUUAGUUGUUAGCUAUCUGUCUAGUUUUGCUUGGGAACGCAACUCAAGGGCAGAAUAGUGAAAAAACAUCAUCAUGGCAGGCUCAAGCACAGGAAUAACCACACAUGCUGGAUAUGUUUCUACGUUCAUCAGCCAACAAAGACUCUUAUCCUAGGGAAGACCAGCAGUCUACGAUGCAACAAUCAGAGCCAGGUGUUCAACAGAGAGAGAUGGAGGAGCCUCUUCAGCACAUUGGUUAGCUAUCUAACCUAGUUUUGCAUGGGAACGCAACUCAAGGGCAGAAUAAUGACCACAUUUCCCAAAGAUUACAAUGGCCUAGAGACCAAUGUCCUAUAGACUGGAGGUGCUUUAAAACCAUUCCUCUUUCCACUCCAGCCUCUUCUGAAGUGAAGGACAAUGCCCUUCAAUUGGAAAUACUGCAUGCUAUUGAUUUUCCUUAGCUGUUUUCAUAUAGUCUCUUUCACCCACGAUACAAUAUUUGGGUAGAAAGCUAUUGUAGAAAAUUGUACUUUUUUUUACACUGUAAGACUGUUUCGAAACUGCUUCCUCUGCUUCUGAUGUACUAAAAACAGUAAUCUCUUUUCAUAGUAACAGGAUUGGUUGAACCUGCUCUACUGUACCAUAAGUGGCAUAAACACUCACAAAUAAAGACGGCCAGUAUUCACAAAUAGGGAUAUUUUCUACUUUUAAUUGCAUUGAAACUGAACCUAAACUAUUCUGAAACACAUUUCACAUACAUAACAAAAUAUGAACUAAAUUAAGUAAAGUAUAGUGGGGGAGAAAGGGGGAGAAUGAGGGAGUUGAUUAGCUAGAAGUAAACAAUGCAUAAUUAUGUAAUCACCAAUUGUGAAUGAAGAGCAGGGCGGGCCAUAUUAUAUUGCAUUGAUCUAUUCUAAUUAUCUCAAAAUGGUAUGUAGGCCUACCCUAUAUCAGUCCACCGAAUCCAAGCAGUCUCAUCAGUCUACUUUAAAAUAUAUAUUUAUUUUACCCGGUAGUUGACUGAGAACACAUUCUCAUUUACAGCAACAACCUGGGGAAUAGUUACAGGGGAGAGAGGAUGAAUAAGCCAAUUGGAAUCUGGGGAUGAUUAGGUGGCCAUGAUGGUAUGAGGGCCAGAUUGGGAAUUUAGCCAGGACACCGGGGUUAAUAUCCCUACUCUUAUGAUAAGUGCCAUGGGAUCUUUAGUGACCACAGAGAGUCAGGACACCCAUUUAACAUCCCAUCUGAAAGAUGGCAUAGGGCAAUAUCCACAAACACUGCCCUGGGGCAUUGGGAUCUUUUUUUAGACCAGAGGAAAGAGUGUCCCCUACUGGCCCUCCAACACCACUUCCAGCAGCAGCAGCAACUCUUAUCCAGGGACUGACCAGGACCAACCCUGCUUAGCUUCAGUGGCAUGCCAGCAGUGGGAUGCAGCGUGGUAUGCUGCUUGAGUAUAGGUGUACUCUGGCCUAGUUGGAGUACACAAUGAGAGCGUGCGUAAUUUACAAUGACAAGAAGACCAAGACAAAUGGAUGCUACAAAAUCGGAAGGAAAAUGACUCAGAUGGUGGGGAAGAAUGAAUGGCAUCUCUGAGUAUACUUCUGAUUCUGAGACUAAGCCUGAACCUCCAUCUCCGAUGCCUAAGCGCAAAAAAGACAGAGCGGUGUGCACUGAGCAGGUGCCCCUGCUAACACCAAAUGAAAUGGUGAGCGGGAGAGAGGAAGGGACAGCACAGUUUGGAUAGAAUAAGCUGCUGACUGUUACAAUGCUAUGGGCCUGUUCUCUGAUCGCUGAGAGAGCAGGGCCUACAUCUCAAGCAAAAAACAAAAAACACCAGCUAUCGUUGUUUAUUUGACAUGGACAUGCUGCAACUAAUGCCAUUGCAUGAAGAAACACCAUGUAAGCACGAGCUGACAAUAAUAAAAUAUAUAUUUUACUGCUAUCAUAUCAACACUUACAGUAUAUUCAUUAUAAUGCCAUUAAUCCUUUUAUGCAAAUUUUUACAAUUUAUCAAGCACUCUUGGCGCUUCUAAAGUUGUUUAUGCUACUGAUUAUUUCAUAAUUUGACUGCAUGUCUUGCUGUCAAUGUUCCAGGUGAAUGGAAUAAAGCGGAGUCAGGCGCAGGACACAGGUAUGAGUAAAGCCACGAUAUUUACUCAAUAUCAACAAUAAUCCAACAAGGAUAAACAUAAACAAUCCAGAACACGUACACGGAACCACUUGACAAAAACAAUAACGCACAAAACAAAAGGGGAAGCCAGAGGGUUAAAUAAGGAACAUGAUUAUGGAAUGGAAACCAGGUGUGUACAAUGAAGACAAAACAAAACGAAAAUGAAACACGGAUCGGUGGUGACUAGAAAGCCGGUGACAUCGACCGCCGAAUGCCGCCCGAACAAGGAGAGGGACCAACUUCGGAGGAAGUCGUGACACUUGCUGACCAUGCAUCUUGGUGGUUGGGGUAUUUUUUUUUAUUUUGGCAGUAUUUAAAAAACAUUUACACAUUCCGUUUCAUAGUGGUAAUAAAGGCACUCCACGAAUAAAAAUUAUUUAACUCUUGAAUAUAGGUGUUUUUAGUGUUUUUUUGUUUUUACAUACUGUAUAGCUUACAGUAACAUAAACUAAUGAAAAUGCUGUUGUGUAAAAAAUUCUAAUGUUACUUAAGACCUUCAUAAACAGAAUCAAAUAAUUAUUUUUGCGAUAGCAUAUAUGAAAUGUAUUAAUUACACAGUUACAAUGUUGCAGUCAGAAUGACUGCUCAUUAGCUUGAAGGGGGGGUCGAGGUCCCUCGAGGUCCAGCAGUUUUAGUUAACCCAAUCAGUCCUGAGACCCCAGCAAAAAACGGCUUUCACUUUCAUUUAUCUGCAAGUCCAUCCCUUAUAUUUAGCCUCACAAUGAAAUGUAUGGUGGAAAAUUAGAAGAUGAUGUUUUAAUACUGUUUACGCAUCGAAUAAGGUUUCUCAGUACUGUCUCAUCUGUGUCUGUGGGACUGAGUUGGGCCUCUGGGGCUUGGCGCUGGCAAUUGAUUUAUGAUGGCUUGGUGAUAAAACCUACAGCCUGCAUUCCAUUGAAUGAUUAGUGUCUGUGAAAGACUGGCCUGUCUGCCAGGGCCAGGUGAACCCUCAGUCCAGUUUCUCUCCCACAUACAGAUGAACACUGGACUUCAAGAAUUGUGAUGAGAACCCAGUGUUCCAUGUUGCAUUAGUAUCUGUGUGUUAAGGAAUGCGAAACUGAGAAAAUAACCAUGUAUUAACAAGCAGUUAAUGACCUAGAGACAGAAACCUGGCGCAAUGUAAAUCUUGCUGUCUGUUGCUUGAUGGCACAAUGUACCUUUGUAUAAUUCUACACAUUUGUUUGUUGUUUGUCAUGAACAUUCAGGAGGAUAUACUUUGCUAUUGUCACGCCCUGACCUUAGAGAUCCCUAUUAUUCUCUAUGUUUGGUUAGGUCAGGGUGCGACUCGGGUGGGAAAGUCUAUGUUUUCUAUUUCUGUGUUUUGGCCGGGUGUGGUUCCCAAUCAGAGGCAGCUGUCUAUCGUUGUCUCUGAUCGGGGAUCAUAUAUAAGUUGUCGUUUUCGUGUCUGUACCUGACAGAACUGUGCACUUUCGUUUUCACUUUGGUUAAUUUGUUUGAGUGUUUUUGAAAAUAAAAAUGAUGAACACUUUC